UGCCACAGCCACAUCACCCUGCAGCCUAACACCGGUUACUCACUGAAGCUAAGCAGGGCUGAGCCUGGUCAGUACCUGGAUGGGAGACCACUAGGGAACACUAGGUUGCUGUUGGAA
rnacentral:rRNA from 1 species